rnacentral:rRNA from 1 species
CUACGGGACGCUCCAGUUAGGAGUAAUCUGCAAUGCGCGCAAGCGUGACAGUUUGAGCCAGAGUGUUUUUCAAUGAAAAACUUUUGCCAAGUGUAAAAAGCUUGGCGAAUAAGGACUGGGUAAGACUGGUGCCAGCCGCCGCGGUAAUACCAGCGGUCCAAGUCGCAGCCAUAUUUAUUGGGUCUAAAACAUCCGUAGCUUGUUUGAUAAGUUUCUUGUGAAAUCCUUUCUCCUAAAGAAAGGGCGGGCAAGAAGUACUGUCAAGCUAGAGACCGGGAGGCGUAAGGAGUACGGUUGAAGUAACAGUAAAAUGUAUUAAUCUCAGCCGGACUAACAACAGCGAAGGCAUCUUACGAGAACGGUUCUGACAGUGAGGGAUGAAAGCCAGGGGCGCAAAACGGAUUAGAUACCCGUGUAGUC